UGGGCAGAGUGAGCUGUGCAGUGUGAGAGUGUGCCCUUUCUCUGCCUUGUGGAAUUGGGCAGACAUUCCCCAAAAGUCAGCUUUUGUUAAACACCCCAUAGCUAAAUGAGAUGCAAGAGACUCCGCUGUGUAAAGGCUGGGCUUAUCUGCAAGAAGGGAGAGUAUAGCUUGUUUUCUAUCACAUCAUCCGCCUGUGCACCUAUUUCUGGAUCUGCCAUACAUGAUUUCAACAAAGAGAAGAGAGUUAGAAACGAAGGACUGAGCGGAGAGGAUCAGCAACCCGUCCUUACACUUCUGCAAGCAAGAAUGUGAGUGAGGGUUCUCCGGACCAGACAGACGCUGUAAACUCUGUACACACUUGGGCUGACUUCCUGGCGCCUCACCUGGUGGAGUUCACUUAUUUGAAGCAGACCGGGCCAAUGUCCACAUAGAGUUCUUGGUCAGAACCACCAAUGUCCAAAGCUCCCCAGACAAAGGCAGCACUACUCACCGAGCAGCCAUCCACAAGAACAGUGUAAGUGAAC